UCUAUUAAGUGUUUCUCCUCUACAUUCUGAGUUCAAAUUCCACUGAGGCCAACUUUGCCUUUCAUCCUUUCAGGGUCAAUAUAUUAAGUACCAGUGAAACACUGGGGUUGGAUGUAAUAGACUAGUCCCGUCCCCGCAAGUUUCAGGCCCUGUGCCUUUAAUAGAAAGGAUUAUUAUAUAGAGCAGUAAAAUGGCAGAAUCACUUGGGUAUUGGUAAAAAUGCUUUGCAGUAUUUACUCGAGCUUUUUAAUCUUAUAAGUUCAAAUCCUACUGAUACCAACUUUGCUUUUCAUCUUUUUGAGGAUGAUAAAAUAAAGUGGCCAACAAUUACUGAGGUUGAUGGUAUUGACUUACCCCCUUCUCCCAAAAUUUCAGGCCCUGUACCUUUACUAGAAACAAUUAUUACAAACAAUUAGGUUGGCAUAAUGUAUGGGGCAUCAGACAAAAUAUCAUUAGUUACAAUCUUUCUUGUUUUAAGUUCAAUUCCUACCAAGUUUAACUUUUUUUUUUAUAUAUUCUGGGAUUGCUAAAAUGUACCAGUCACGUACUGGGGUUGAGCUAAAACAAUGUGUAACCUUGUGCCUAUGUUAGAAAUCAUCCAGUAGAACAUCAGAUAAAAUGCCUUGUGUUUCUUCUGACACUCAACAUUCUGAGCUCAAAUCAUGCCAUGGUCAACUUCACCUCUCAUCCUUCCAACGUCAGUAUAAUAAAACUCCAACAAAGUACUGGGGUUAAUUUAAUCAAUUAAUGCCCUCCCCUCAAAAUUGCUGGCCUUGUGUCUAAACUAGAAGCAAUUAUUGUUAUUAUUAUGGAAGAGUGUCUAAUUAUUAGAAUCAGGAAAACAACUACCCAGAUGACUUAUGGUCCGUCUGUAUUCUGAGGUGAAAUCCUGCCAUUGUUGACCUCAUUUUUGAUUAUCAGUGAUUGAUAAAACAAGUACCAGUUAUAUACCAAGGUGUUUUUCUACCAGAGCUCAAUUCCCACUGAGGUCAACUUUGCCUUUAUUCCUUCCAAGGUUGAUAAAGUGAAGCAAUGGGGUUGAUAUGAUAUUGUCCCCCAUCUCCUCCCCUUCCCAAAAAUUGAGGACCUUGUGCCUAUGUAUGAACUCAUCAUCAUCGUUGUUAUUGCUGUUUAACAGAAAUAGUAGAGCAUCAGCCUAAAUCACGUGUUCUGAGUUCAAAUCUCGACUAGGUCAACUUUUGCCUUUCUGUGUUGAAAUUGCUAAUUGUGGAUGUUGUGAGAAGGCCAGAAACAAGUGUGUUUAGAUUGAUGUGGUGAGAAAGAUGAGAGGAGCAGAGGCUGCUGUAGUAGUGGUGAGAGAAGAGACAGUGAAGACACAGUAAUUAUAAUUUUAAAAAAUGAUUGUUUUGUGUUGAAGAUUGAAGAAUUGCUUAUCAGGAAGAUGAUGUUGCUGUUGUGUGUGCAUGUGUAUGUAUGUGUGUGUGUGUGUAUGUGGUGAGGGUUUUGUUCUUCAUAAAUAAGCGUAUUUCUUCAUUUGAGGUGAUGUGAAGGGGCUGUUUUGUCAACGACAUAAAAUGGGGUGGAUGGACAGAUGGAUGAUUGGACAGUUGACUCAAUGGAUGGUUGAAUGGCCUUUAAAAAUAGCCCCAGUUUGUAAAUGCUAUCAUUGUUUCCUGCCCACCGUCCAUUCAGUGUGAAAUAAAACUCUUCUAGGGAGAGGGAGAAACCUCAAUGUUGUGAUGACAACCACUGUAUAAUCCUUUCUAGGAGUUGUAUUGACAACAUUUCUUCUCAAUCUUUCUUCUCUGUUCCACCCCUUAACACCCGAAUCCACCCAAUCUAAUGUAAACUAUUGCCCAUCCACCAGUCUGCUGGUCAGACACCAAAAAGCUACAUUUCUAUUUCCCCCCACA
rnacentral:lncRNA from 1 species